GUGUUCACUUUGGCAGCACGUAUACUAAAAUUGGAACAAUACAGAGAUUAACAUGGCCCCUGUGUAAGGAUGUCAUACAAAUUUAUGAAGUAUUCUAUAUUUUA